rnacentral:rRNA from 1 species
UAAUACGUAGGUGGCAAGCGUUGUCCGGAUUUACUGGGCGUAAAGCGAACGCAGGCGGGCCUUUAAGUAGGAAGUGAAAGGUUGGAGCUCAACUCUAACACUGCUCCCUAUACUGGAGGCCUUGAGUUUCGGAGAGGAAGACGGAACUGCAGGUGUAGCGGUGAAAUGCGUUGAUAUCUGCAGGAACACCAAUGGCGAAAGCAGUCUUCUGGACGAAUACUGACGCUCAGGUUCGAAAGCCAAGGUAGCAAACAGGAUUAGAUACCCUGGUAGUCUUGGCCUUAAACGAUGCUCACUAGGUGUUGGGGGGCAACCCUCGGUGCCGCAGCUAACGCAUUAAGUGAGCCGCCUGGGGACUACGGCCGCAAGGUUG